GAAUGAAGAACGCAGCGAAAUGCGAUACUUGGUGUGAAUUGCAGAAUCCCGUGAACCAUCGAGUCUUUGAACGCAAGUUGCGCCCGAAGCCAUUAGGCCGAGGGCACGCCUGCCUGGGCGUCACACGUCGUUGCCCCCCCCAUCUACUCCUUCGGGAUUGCGGGGGGCGGAUGAUGGCCUCCCGUGCGCCUCGCCGCGCGGUUGGCAUAAAUGCCAAGUCCUCGGCGACGCACGCCACGACAAUCGGUGGUUGCGAAACCUCGGUUGCCCGUCGUGUGCGGUCGUCGCGCAUCGAGGGCUCGAAAAAAUUGCCGAGUUCCGGCUCGGCUUUCAACGCGACCCCAGGUCAGGCGGGGUUACCCGCUGAAUUUAAGCAUAUCAAUAAGCGGAGGA
rnacentral:misc_RNA from 1 species